AAGUCGUAACAAGGUUUCCGUAGGUGAACCUGCGGAAGGAUCAUUAUUAAUUGAGUGUGCGUGUGUUGCUCUUGGCUUUAUUGCCUUGGGUGCGCCGCCCUUUUUUAUCUGUGAACUGGAUCUUUUUGCUUUCUUGUUUGUUUUUGUCUGUUUUCUGUUUCUUUUCUUGUGUUUUUUUUUUCUGCUUGUUUGCUUGUUUGUUGCUCACUUGUGAGUGGCAAGCGAGUAGGCAAGUGGAAAAAAAGGGCGCGGGGGAGGGAGCAGGGAGGCAGGUGGAAGCGGGCAAGUCAGUAAAAGGAUUGCCAACAUUUUGUUUUCUGUUGUAAUGUUACUUUUUACAAGUUUUCUUUGUAAUGAAAGACAACUUUCAGCAAUGGAUCUCUUGGCUCUUGCAUCGAUGAAGAACGCAGCGAAAUGCGAUACGUAAUGUGAAUUGCAGAUCCGUGACUCAUCGAAACUUUGAACGCACAUUGCACUUGGUGGCAUUCCGCCAAGUAUGCUUGUUUGAGUGUCUGUGUAACUCUCUCUUGUUCUUUUGUUGCUCUUGUCUUUUCAAGAGUGGCAAGGAAGAAGGAUUUUGGUCUCUUUGCGCAAGCGAAUUGACUUUGAGUAUUUGCGGCAUGCUUUGACUGAAAGGUUUAUCAAUCUUGAAGUGUAAAGCGCAGCCUGGNUUGUUUGANAACCUCGGUUUGGNAGANUAAUUCACGUUGUGNCUUUGUGCUUUUGUGUGGNUGCUGANGUGGAGCGCAGUCGGAUUUGUUUUCAUCCAUCUUUGAUGAGGGAAACAAGAACACACAUUNUCUACUUUGGACNUCAAAUNANCAAGGCUACCCGCUGACUUAAGCAUAUUAAUAAGCGGAGGAAAAGAAACUAACAAGGAUACCCUUAGUAAUGGCGAACGAAACGGGUAAAGUCCAAGUUUGAAAUCUCUUGCGUCAAGCAAGCGAGUUGUAAACUGUAAACAUGUUCACCAUGGCAGGCUAAUGAAUGUAAAGUCCACUGGAAUGUGGCAGCGCUUCGGCGUUCUUUGGGUCAAAGAGGGUGAAAACCCCGUUUAUGUUCAUUAGUUUGUCUGUUGUGUGGGCGUGUUAAAGAGUCGGAUUGUUUGGGAAUGCAAUCCAAAACGGGUGGUAAAUUCCAUCCAAGACUAAAUAUUAGCAAGAGACCGAUAGCGAACAAGUACCGUGAGGGAAAGAUGAAAAGCACUCUGAAGAGAGAGUGAAAUAGUACGUGAAAUUGCUGAAAGGGAAACGCUUGAGACGAUUGUUGCUCGCAUUUGAAUCAGUUUCGGCUGCUCUUUGAGUGUGUGGCAAGUCAGCAGCAUUUUCGAGUGGCAUUGACGCCUUUCAAGAAUGUAGCAAUUGUUUUUUUCAGUUGUGUUAUAGCUUGGAAUGUGCCAUGUUGCUUGGGAGUGAGGACUGCUUGGCUUUUUACUUGUUGUUUGUGUGUUUGAUUUGGCAAUUAGAGGCCUUGGCUUAACCUCCAAGACUUUAGCUGUCAAGUUAGGCACUGCAGGCGGCAAGUGGAAGUUGAAAGGUUGCUGACAAAAUUGUCUUAAUCGACC
rnacentral:rRNA from 1 species